UUUCUUCCGUUGAUUGGCUUUUUUAAGUGCCAAAUAAGACAUUCUAGAAGCCUCUGGUGAAUUGGUUGGUGAUCAGCCUAUCUUAUAUGCUUUCUUAUGCCUUUGGAGUGCCUAAAGCCAAGUGAACGAAGUGGCCGGUAAGGUGAACAUGGGAAAGAAGAAUCCAGUCUAUAUAUGGCUUGUUGAAGUAAACAUGUGGACUCUUCUUCCACCCUCUGUUUUGGAAUAUCACUUUUGAAAAUGAUGUUGGACUAUUUAGCUUGUUCUCUU
rnacentral:lncRNA from 1 species